GCUAGGUUUCUUGCUUUGAAUUAGAGAACAGGGUAACAGCCAAGCGUGCGGAGCGUGAGAUGAGAGCCUUGAGGAAGGCUGGGGACUGGCAUUUGUCCAUGGGCUCGUUUCUUAGGCAGCAUAACCAUGGAAGAGUGUCACGGUCACUGAUGGUGUGUUGUCCCCUUGCUCCUGCCAGGCAGCGGGGAGUCAAGUCAGGAAAGGGUUGCAGAGCAGGUACCACCUUGGAGGGCAGGCAAGAGUUGGGCGGCCUCUGAGGAGGCAGUUACAGUUGGCUCAGGGACUGCUGCCCCCUUCUGGAGAAUUGCUGCAGUACAAAUCAACUUUCCCAGUUCCAACUAGUUGAGGUUUUUAAACACGUCACAAAUCUUUCAUUUAUUUACUCUAUCAACAUAUGCCACCAUUUCAUCAUGUUGUGUCUGAUAAGCCAAGUCUAUUUGGAGCUAUUACAACUUUUUCUAUGUCUUAUGAAAUAAAAUCAAAUUUUGAGAGACUUCAUGCGAUUGCAUAGGGAACUAAUGAUGCAAGAUUUUUUUUUUAACAAAAAAAUCAAUAAGUGGUAAAAGUGUCUCAUCCAUACACAAUCCUGUGAAGGCCCAGCCAGUCUUCCCUUACCCGCUCUCCCUGAGUUGGGACUGGAUGGAGGAAAUGCAGUCAGUCAUGGCCUGCUGCUUCACCUCAGGGUAAGUGGUGAGGCAUGGGUCAUGGCGUUACCUCUUAAGAGCUGACAAGGAAUAUGUGGCACUUCCACUGACACAAUCUGGAAUAAAGUGAUUCUGCAGUUGUGAAUGAACACAAACAUCCUGUAGUGAUCUUAUGAAGGGUGUGGCAUGAGAAAAUAAAACUCAUUCAUUUUGUGGUGCUGGGGGUCAGAUCCAAGGCCUCACACUUGCUAGGCAAGCUCUCUGUCCCAAAGCUACAUCCUCUACCCCCAAUAAAAUUUAAGGCAUUCUUCAAAAAAUUGACCCAACCUCUUUCCCAGUUGUCCUGCUCUCCCACAACUUCUCAAUAUUGUGACUGCUGUUCAGCUGCAUCACGGGGCUGUUAGACCCCAAGUGGCUGUAUGAUCUGCUGUCACUGUGGGGAAUUCUUAACUUCUUGAUGUUGUGCCACAUAUUUCCAGUUUUUGAUACUGGGAUUGGACCAAGAGCACUCUACUACUGACCAGCGGCUCCAGCCCUUUUAUUUUGAGAUGGGGUCUUGCUAAGUUGCUAAAGCUAGCCUCAAACUUGUGCAUCUCCUGCCUCAGUCUCCUAGGUAGCUGGGGUCACAGGUGGCCACCACGUGCCUGGCACUGCAUUCAUUCUUACUUUCUGCUUAACCAGCAGCUGGGAGCACCCCAGCUAGAUAGUCGUGUUCCAACUAAACUGUGUACCCCUUUGUCGUUUCCUUUUCUUUCUCUGAGUACUUUCAAAGUAGUGAAAGGAGAAGGAAUCUUCAAUCCAAGGACACAUGUAUUCAACAAAACUGGUAGAGGAGCCACUGUAUGUAAGAACUGGGCUAAGGCUGGGCUGAAACAGUCGAUGUUUGAUCAGCCACUAACACAGGUCCCCACUGGUGUGACAGUGCUGACCCUGGUCCAGCAGGCCAACAGGCCGUCUCCAUAGAGCCUCGAGCCCAGGGGAUGCUGUGUGACUCUUGAAGGAGGGAGUUUCCUGUUGGUGAGGGAAAGGGAAACAGCAGGGAGGUCUCUUUAAGGGGGCAGAGGAAGGGGCGGUCAUGAAACCCUGGAGCGGCCCACUUCAAGGUUCUGAGCAAGAAGGCUUAGGGUGUCACUUAGUGGUAGCGGUCGGGCUUAGCAUGUGUGAGGCCCUGAGUUUGAGCCCUGAACCACAAAAUUUGUAAAUCAGUUUUAAGCAAGGGAAUGAAGUGAUCAGAUUUUUUUUUUUUUUUUUUUGUAGUUGGACACAACACCUUUAUUUUAUUUAUUUUUAUGUGGUGCUGAGGAUCAAACCCAGGGCCUUGCACAUGCUAGGCAUGCGCUCUACCACUGAGCUGCAGCCCCAGCUCAAUCAGAUUAUUUUUCAUAAAAUUUACAAACUGGAAUGUGUGGAAGGCAGCUGGGGGCUGGGGGAGGGAACCACAGGAAGAUCACUAGUGAAACUUGCUUAUUUUACAAAAUCCUUAAACUCAAGACUCAUCCCUUUUGCUUUAAAAAAAGAAAAAAGAAAAAACAUCAAAUUGCAUCACAUUUCCCAUACUGUUUAGAAAAUUUGAAUCUUUUUUUUUUUUUUUAAUUUAUUUUUUAGUUUUCGGCGGACACAAC
rnacentral:lncRNA from 1 species